AUAAACCAAUUGGACUUGAUCCAAUCAAGUCCAAAUUAAAUUUAAUUAAAUUAUAUUUAAUUAGACUUAAUCUCAGCCCAUUGGCUUAAUCAAAUUAAGCCAAUUAGUAAUCGAAUUGCUAAUCGAUCCUCCUGCAACACUUGCACUGGGUUAAAUGUCAAUCGUAUUGAUCAUUUAACCCUAGAAUGAUUCUUAAUCAUUGAUCAACCAUCCAAUCAGAUCAUGAACUCUAAUGUGUGUGAUCUCAUAGGUCUGAACCUAAGUCGAUAGUAUAGGAAUAAAUUUCUAUACCAAUCAAAGUGACCAUCUAGUAAUGGUACCCG
rnacentral:lncRNA from 1 species